ensembl:lncRNA
GGGGUGGUGGCCUUGAGGGGCGGGACACUCACGAGGGCAUCUCCCACAGAGAUGCACAGUCCGCCCUGGAAAUGCCUCAGGCUUUCAGAAGGAGCGGCUGCCCAAGGCCUCCAGGCUGCCAGGCUGGAGGGCUGCAGAAGAGGCCAGACCCCAGGGAGGGUGGUCUAAGCACCCCGCUCGCUCAGGCCUGCAGGAAGACACAGCCCGGUCCAGAUGGGCCCCUGGAGACCUUCCAGGGCAACCCGCGGGGCUGUUCACGAACCUGAAGCCCGGAGAGGAUGCCCCGGCUGCCCCAGGGGCCUGUCCGGGCGCUGGCCAGCCACUCCCCUAACGAUCCUCUAAGUAAUCGGUAAAAAAUAAAGGUGGCCCCAAUCACCGCCUCCCCCCGGAGGAACCUGGUGCUCCCCAAGCAUCAGGGUCUUUUUCAAUGAGUCAGUUCUUCGCAUAAGGUGGUGGAAAUAUUGGAGCUUCAGCUUCAGCAUCAGCCCUUCCAGUGACGAACAAGGGAGCUGUAGAGAGAGUCUCUGAAAGUUGUUCCCGCUGUCUGAGAGACACGAGGAGGAUGGAUUUUCAAAGGAUGGAGCAGAGCCCAGGGCUGCGUCCUUUGAAGCCAGGGCUCCUGAACAUGCCGUGCCGGUGUUACUGGUUCUUAGCAGCUGACUCGCAUACUGACAUGUCUUUGGGCUGGAUGCUGGAACACUGACACCUCUUUGGGCCAGAUGCUGGGAUAGACCCCCAAAGGGCAUGACCC